UCUGGUUAUAUCUCACUUGCGACCUCCGGGC
rnacentral:piRNA from 1 species